rnacentral:rRNA from 1 species
AGAGAGAGACAUGCGCGCAUAUCAAUAAGCGGAGGAAAAGCAACUAACAAGGAUUCCCCUAGUAACGGCGAGUGAAGCGGGAAGAGCUCAAAUUUGAAAUCUUAAAGGGUUUCCCUUUACGAAUUGUAGUUUAAAGAAGUGUUUUCUGUUGAGGUUUUGGUAAAAGUUCUCUGGAAUAGGACAUCAUAGAGGGUGAGAAUCCCGUAUUUGACCUUUACUUUCAACUUUGUGAUACACUUUCAAAGAGUCGGAUUGUUUGGGAAUGCAGUCCAAAAUGGGUGGUAAAUUUCAUCUAAAGCUAAAUAUUGGCGAGAGACCGAUAGCGAACAAGUACCGUGAGGGAAAGAUGAAAGAACUUUGAAAAGAGAGUUAAACAGUACGUGAAAUUGUCAAAAGGGAAGCGUUUGACACCAGUGUUGUUUUUCUGAAAAUCAAUUAAAGAACUGUUUAUGCUAAGCUGUUUAGACUUUAUCAGCUAAUCUGUUUAGUUUUGAGCUUUUCUUUAAUGCACUUUUCAGUUAACAAGUCAACAUCAAUUUCUUUUGCUGUAAAAAAGCUUGAGGAAGGUGGCUUGAGAUUCGUCUUAAGUGUUUAUAGCCUCUUGCCUAUGCAGUCGGAGAGAUUGAGGUCUGCAGCGUAGAUCCUUCGGGGCUAAAUGCAUUUGUGCUAAGUUAUAGCAUUUUAUAGACAACUUGUUGACUAUGAUUUGUCUUGUAGCUUACUCGCUUAUGUUAUUUUACCUACGCUUAGGAUGUUGAGCGCAUGUCUCUCUCU